rnacentral:rRNA from 1 species
AUGGCAGGCGGCCGCGGCCGUGGCCGCGGCGACGGAAGGAACCCGGCGACCUCCUCCUCCUCCUCCUCCUCCCGGCAGCGGAAGGCCCGGGGCUCGCGCGACUUCGGUCCUGAAACUGAAAGGUCCUUGGAACCUCAAAAGGAAGGGCCAAGUUCAUCUUCUCCCUCUGUUAGCAGUAAAAAACCGCAGAUGGUUACACCAGUUCUACCAAAGUCUCUAGAUUCACCAGUUCAACCAAGAAAGCCUCUCAAUUCACCGCUGAUGAUGGCUAAACAAGUUCAUCCACCGAAAUCUCAAUAUCCACUGGUCCAAACGGUUGCAUCGAUUCAAAUAUCAAAACCUCUAAACUCCAGUAGUGCUUCAUGUGGCUCUGGAACUGUGGGGUCUCUAGAUUCACCAGUUCAACCAUGGAAGUCUCUCGAUUCACCGCUGAUGAUGGCUGAACAAGUUCAACCACCGAAAUCUCAAGAUUCACUGGUCCAAAUGGUUGCAUCGAUGCAACUAUCGAAACCUCUAGACUCCAGUAGCGCUUCAACUGGCUCUGGAGCUGUGGGGUCUGAUUUAGGAGCUGCUCCAUUUGACAUAUGCAUGGGUAACAGCAAAGGCAUUUUCAAGCUAAAUCGCCCUUUGCAUGAGAUCAACAAAGAAAAACGGCUGCGCGAAAGGGAGCUUUCAAACAGUGCAGCUCCGCCGCAACGUUUGAGACCUGGGAUGGUUCUACUGAAAAACUUCUUAAAGCUGGAUGAUCAGGUUGAAAUUAUCAAGCUUUGUCGGGAACUUGGUGUUGGCACAGGAGGAUUUUAUCAACCUGGCUACAGAGAGGGUGGUAAGUUAAGUCUGCGGAUGAUGUGCUUAGGGAAGAACUGGGAUCCAGAUUCAAGAUCAUAUGGAGAUAUACGACCCUUUGAUGGGGCUCAACCACCACAGAUGCCACAAGAAUUGACUAAGUUCGUGGAAGAAGCCAUUAAAGCUUCCCAUGAUUUCUUGAAACAAAGAGGCAAGGGAGCUACCGAGCCCUCUGUAGAACUUCCUCAGAUGUCACCUGACAUCUGCAUUGUUAACUUCUACACCACUGGCGGGAAGUUAGGUCUUCAUCAGGACAAAGAUGAAGAUGAAUCUAGCCUUGAAAAGAGACUGCCUGUUGUUUCCUUUUCAUUGGGCGACACUGCAGAAUUCUUGUAUGGUGAUGACAGAGAUGUUGAUAAGGCUUCAAAGAUUAAACUUGAAUCUGGUGAUGUUCUGAUAUUUGGUGGUCAAUCAAGGCUCAUAUUCCAUGGGGUCUCCGGCAUUAUGCCGAAAAGUGCACCGCUUAUGGUGACCGACAAGGCAAAUCUUCGACCCGGGCGCCUGAACCUCACAUUCAGGCAGCAUAAGUAUGAGCCCUAG